AAAUUGAAGAGUUUGAUCAUGGCUCAGAUUGAACGCUGGCGGCAGGCCUAACACAUGCAAGUCGAGCGGUAGCACAGAGAGCUUGCUCUCGGGUGACGAGCGGCGGACGGGUGAGUAAUGUCUGGGAAACUGCCUGAUGGAGGGGGAUAACUACUGGAAACGGUAGCUAAUACCGCAUAANGUCGCAAGACCAAAGUGGGGGACCUUCGGGCCUCAUGCCAUCAGAUGUGCCCAGAUGGGAUUAGCUAGUAGGUGGGGUAACGGCUCACCUAGGCGACGAUCCCUAGCUGGUCUGAGAGGAUGACCAGCCACACUGGAACUGAGACACGGUCCAGACUCCUACGGGAGGCAGCAGUGGGGAAUAUUGCACAAUGGGCGCAAGCCUGAUGCAGCCAUGCCGCGUGUGUGAAGAAGGCCUUCGGGUUGUAAAGCACUUUCAGCGGGGAGGAAGGCGUAAGGUUAAUANNNNNNCGAUUGACGUUACCCGCAGAAGAAGCACCGGCUAACUCCGUGCCAGCAGCCGCGGUAAUACGGAGGGUGCAAGCGUUAAUCGGAAUUACUGGGCGUAAAGCGCACGCAGGCGGUCUGUCAAGUCGGAUGUGAAAUCCCCGGGCUCAACCUGGGAACUGCAUUCGAAACUGGCAGGCUAGAGUCUUGUAGAGGGGGGUAGAAUUCCAGGUGUAGCGGUGAAAUGCGUAGAGAUCUGGAGGAAUACCGGUGGCGAAGGCGGCCCCCUGGACAAAGACUGACGCUCAGGUGCGAAAGCGUGGGGAGCAAACAGGAUUAGAUACCCUGGUAGUCCACGCCGUAAACGAUGUCGAUUUGGAGGUUGUGCCCUUGAGGCGUGGCUUCCGGAGCUAACGCGUUAAAUCGACCGCCUGGGGAGUACGGCCGCAAGGUUAAAACUCAAAUGAAUUGACGGGGGCCCGCACAAGCGGUGGAGCAUGUGGUUUAAUUCGAUGCAACGCGAAGAACCUUACCUGGUCUUGACAUCCACAGAACUUUCCAGAGAUGGAUUGGUGCCUUCGGGAACUGUGAGACAGGUGCUGCAUGGCUGUCGUCAGCUCGUGUUGUGAAAUGUUGGGUUAAGUCCCGCAACGAGCGCAACCCUUAUCCUUUGUUGCCAGCGGUCNGGCCGGGAACUCAAAGGAGACUGCCAGUGAUAAACUGGAGGAAGGUGGGGAUGACGUCAAGUCAUCAUGGCCCUUACGACCAGGGCUACACACGUGCUACAAUGGCAUAUACAAAGAGAAGCGACCUCGCGAGAGCAAGCGGACCUCAUAAAGUAUGUCGUAGUCCGGAUUGGAGUCUGCAACUCGACUCCAUGAAGUCGGAAUCGCUAGUAAUCGUAGAUCAGAAUGCUACGGUGAAUACGUUCCCGGGCCUUGUACACACCGCCCGUCACACCAUGGGAGUGGGUUGCAAAAGAAGUAGGUAGCUUAACCUUCGGGAGGGCGCUUACCACUUUGUGAUUCAUGACUGGGGUGAAGUCGUAACAAGGUAACCGUAGGGGAACCUGCGGUUGGAUCACCUCCUUA
rnacentral:rRNA from 1 species